rnacentral:rRNA from 1 species
UAAUACCGCAUAAGCGCACAGCAUCGCAUGAUGCCGUGUGAAAAACUCCGGUGGUAUGAGAUGGACCCGCGUCUGAUUAGGUAGUUGGCGGGGUAACGGCCCACCAAGCCGACGAUCAGUAGCCGACCUGAGAGGGUGACCGGCCACAUUGGGACUGAGACACGGCCCAAACUCCUACGGGAGGCAGCAGUGGGGAAUAUUGCACAAUGGGCGAAAGCCUGAUGCAGCGACGCCGCGUGAGCGAAGAAGUAUCUCGGUAUGUAAAGCUCUAUCAGCAGGGAAGAAAAUGACGGUACCUGACUAAGAAGCCCCGGCUAACUACGUGCCAGCAGCCGCGGUAAUACGUAGGGGGCAAGCGUUAUCCGGAUUUACUGGGUGUAAAGGGAGCGUAGACGGAGAGGCAAGUCUGAUGUGAAAACCCGGGGCUCAACCGCGGGACUGCAUUGGAAACUGUUUAUCUGGAGUGCCGGAGGGGUAAGUGGAAUUCCUAGUGUAGCGGUGAAAUGCGUAGAUAUUAGGAGGAACACCAGUGGCGAAGGCGGCUUACUGGACGGUAACUGACGUUGAGGCUCGAAAGCGUGGGGAGCAAACAGGAUUA